rnacentral:rRNA from 1 species
GAUGAACGCUGGCGGCGUGCCUAAUACAUGCCAGUCGAGCGAACAGACGAGGAGCUUGCUCCUCUGAUGUUAGCGGCGGACGGGUGAGUAACACGUGGAUAACCUACCUAUAAGACUGGGAUAACUUCGGGAAACCGGAGCUAAUACCGGAUAACAUGUUGAACCGCAUGGUUCAACAGUGAAAGACGGUCUUGCUGUCACUUAUAGAUGGAUCCGCGCCGCAUUAGCUAGUUGGUAAGGUAACGGCUUACCAAGGCAACGAUGCGUAGCCGACCUGAGAGGGUGAUCGGCCACACUGGAACUGAGACACGGUCCAGACUCCUACGGGAGGCAGCAGUAGGGAAUCUUCCGCAAUGGGCGAAAGCCUGACGGAGCAACGCCGCGUGAGUGAAGAAGGUCUUCGGAUCGUAAAACUCUGUUAUUAGGGAAGAACAAAUGUGUAAGUAACUAUGCACGUCUUGACGGAACCUAAUCAGAAAGCCACGGCUAACUACGUG